GGAGUUGUGGCUCAGAGGUAGAGUGCUUGCCUACCAUGCAUGAGGCUCUGGGUUCGAUCCUCAGCACCA
rnacentral:tRNA from 1 species